AAUGAACGCUGGCGGCAUGCCUAACACAUGCAAGUCGAACGAGACCUUCGGGUCUAGUGGCGCACGGGUGCGUAACGCGUGGGAAUCUGCCCUUGGGUUCGGAAUAACAGUGAGAAAUUACUGCUAAUACCGAAUGAUGACGUAAGUCCAAAGAUUUAUCGCCCAGGGAUGAGCCCGCGUAGGAUUAGCUAGUUGGUGAGGUAAAAGCUCACCAAGGCGACGAUCCUUAGCUGGUCUGAGAGGAUGAUCAGCCACACUGGGACUGAGACACGGCCCAGACUCCUACGGGAGGCAGCAGUGGGGAAUAUUGGACAAUGGGCGAAAGCCUGAUCCAGCAAUGCCGCGUGAGUGAUGAAGGCCUUAGGGUUGUAAAGCUCUUUUACCCGGGAUGAUAAUGACAGU
rnacentral:rRNA from 1 species